UGUAAUGGGAGACCAUAAGUGGUGUCUACGGAAGGGGAUGUCAUGUUUAAGAAGGAUAAUCUUGGCAAAGGAAAUUUACUUUUAUGAAUUUCAUUCAUAAAAGGGCAUGUUUAAUUUACUCUAUAGAAGCCAAAAUGCUUUGUCAGGCAGCUACUCUAAGAUGAGAUAGUCAAGUGGUUGGAACCUCCAGUAGAGAAAACCUUUACCCAUGUAUCAUGUCAUCAAUGAAACUUAAGUUUUACAUUAGGCGAACCUGUGGCGCGGUGAAAAGUAUACUGGUCUAAGAGGAGGAAUCUGAGUUGAAGUCCUAGCUCUGCUAUUUAUUCCCUAUGUAACUGGGAUUAAGUCACUUAAACUUUCUGGGUCUCAGAUUUCUUAGCUAUAAAAUGAAGAUAAAACUUGUCCUAUAACACUUAGCUAUUGUGUGUAAAUGAAAUAAUCAUGUGAAUAUACUUGAAAAGUGGUACAUAAAUGAAGAUGUGUGUAUAUGCUCUGAUUUCUAGCUCAUUAUCAGAUAAAUCACAUAGCCCCUCAUUUGGUUUUCCAAGGAUCCUCUGGUCAACAAAAGGUUUGCUGAGAGAUAAAGACUAAUUCCUUCCUUUGUAAAAUUUACAAAAUUGUCCCAAAGCGUUUCUUAGCAAAAAGAGAUGGUAGUUAGUUCACUAUUCACUGUAAAUUCUCUUGAUUUCUAUAGAGUGGCCAUAUUUUACCCAUUUUUCCUUCUAUUCCUUUCACCUUGGAAUCUUCUAUAAUACCGAGGAUUGUUCUAACCACGUGACUCAAAUAGGAUCUGCUAUAAGGACUGAACAGGUGAUUGUAUGUGACAAAAACUAGGUAUCAAAAUUGUUCUCUGCAGUAUGUCAAAUUUGAACCAAGGAGCAGGAGUUCCUUCCUUUAGAUGACAUUUGCUGUUGCUGGAGCAUUAUGAAAAUAGUGGUCUACAAUAGAUAAAAUGCAGCCAACAUACAGAGCGAAUCAAAUGCAGUUGAUGGAAAAAGCUUCUGCAGUGGUGCCUAGAACCACACGUGACUAAAGCCAUAUUCAUCUUCCCUUUCCUGUGAUUUGAUUUACAAACGUAUACGUUCUUCUAGCCUUAAUCUCACUGAUGUCAAUUUCCACCAUUUACAAAUUUUAAAAAAGUCCAUCACACAUUAUGAGUUGUAUUUUAUUUUAGUGGACACUUACUUGCUGUUGUAUUUUGAGCAAGUAUGGUAAUUUUAAAACAUGGCCCCAAAAUAUUUUGACAUUCCUUUCAUCAAAAGAUAGCUUUUAUGUCCCUUUCCCUGAAGUCUUGGUGGGCUUCUAAUUACUUCAACCGAUAGAGUAUGGAGGAAGCGAUGCUGUGUAAUUCCUGAUGCUGCUCAGAAGGGUCAGGUCAUUUCUACUUGAUCUUGUGCAACACUUUAUCUGGAGAGGCUGUCCAUCAUAUAAGAAGUAGGGCUAUCUUAAGACCACCAUGCUAUAGAGGCUACAUGUAGGUAUUCUGGUCAACAGUCCCCUGAGAGGUCCCAGUUGACAGCCAGUCACAUCUGCCAGUCAUUAAGUGAACCAUCUUGAAAGUCCAGCCCAGUCUAGACUUCCAAGGACUGAAGACCCAGUGGCUACUACCAACAAAUUGACUAUGAGUGAGAACUGCAAGUUCUUUUCCUGACCAAAUACUCUGGGUGACAUAGAAAAAAGAAAAACAAAGUUCUUUAAAAUCCCUAAGUUUGGAGGCAAAUUCUUAUGCAGAGUGACAAGUUACUUAAAAGCUUUGAGGAUUUUGGAGAUCAUCUAUAAAAUUGAGGUAACAUUCCUCUUUAGAGUCAAUUUAAGAAAUUAAUGAGAUGGAACCUGAAAGGUACCUCACAGUGUAUCUCUCUGUCACGGACUCUCAAUAAAUAUCCCUCUCCUUACCUUCCUCCCAGUGAGAUUAUCUAAAUAAAAGGGAUUUUAUAGACUGUAGGAAGUUUUUCCAAUAUUUAUUAUUGUCUUCCUGGACCCAUUGUCCAAAAAAUAUAUUCCCAGAAAACCCAGUCAGUCACUGGUCUGAGGCAUACUCAGAAGCUUUCUCUUAUUGUUGGAUCAUUUAUCCAUAGCCUUUCUUCAGUGUCCACAAGUUCUUAGUGACCAUCAUGUUUACACUAAUGUUCCAUUUCUUUCUUCUGUAGGGAGUACUUAAAGACAGAGAUGAUGUUUUGCAAAAUAAUCAUUUAGUUCUAUAAGUAGAUCAACAAGUCAUAAAUGCUUGUUGAAGUUCAAGGGUAGAUAUUUGAAUUUUCCAUGGUAGGAGUAAAUCAUGUACCUCAUUAGAAUCAAGAACAUGGUUGUUUUGUUCCCUACAUGCUGUCUUCUUGUUCUACCAGUUUAUGAUAAUUUUGUUUUGUUUUGUUUGUUUUUGUGUAAAGUGAUGUCAAAAGAAGCUAUCAUGAUUUCUCUUUGCUAUCAAGUUAAAAGGAGAAGGGUUCAAGGCUUCUGAUGAGAAAAUCACAUCAGCCAGAGAAACUGACAGUAAUCGGAACAACUCCUUUCUCAAGUAAAAAAAGCCUUAGAUUUUAAAAAGAAAAAGAAAUGAGAAAGAAUGUAUGUAAGUAGACAAAGAUAAUGAAACCUUUCUCAGCUGUCUCUAACUCAUGGACACGUCAAGAAAUUAAGAGACAUUUCAUGAUGAGCUGGAGUAUUAGGACUAUAUUUGCUGAAUUUAUUUUUUCAUGGUUCAAUGAUGAAACAGUAAAUUCCACAAAUAGAUUUCAAGUUUGGUCAAGCAUUUUGGCUUUUGAACAUUAAUCUCCUGAGCAGUGAGCUCUGUACAUGCCUGGGAAGGUUCAACACAACAAUGACAUGUGACAGCCAAACAUCCAAGCACUGAGCAAUUUAGAUUCUCAUAUCACCAAAUGGGAUUUUGUGGGUGGAGGAGAAGGAAGGACCCGAAGUUAUUUUGCUGUUAUUCUGUUACAGCUCUUUCUUCUCUGUGUUGAUGCUGCCAAAAGCUAUGCUGGCAGCACACUGGAUUUUCAGUGUUUAUAUUAACUCGUCUUAAUCAAGGAAUCCUGACUUAACCUUAUUCUUUCUCACAGACACAGUUCAAUGCUGCAAUGGAGCCUGUGGUGAGCACUGAUUCAAUAGGUGGUUUGCCUCCUUAGACGCAGAAUCACAGGACUAGAAGGAGUGAAAACAACACUUUAUCUCUACAUUGGCUUCAGGGAGGACAGUGCCCAAACCACCUCAAGUACAGAAUAAUUUACUCUCAUUUAGAAGAUCUCCAGACAGAGCUCGAAUGGCUCCCUUGGCAACAAAUUUUAGUUUUAACAAUCUUUGUAGCUUUAUCCUUCCCUCCAGAUAAUGCCAUAACUGUGUACUCUAGAUUAAACGUUUUCUCCUUUUCUGCCCACAGUGCUUUUGAAGCCAAACAUGAUUUCACAUAUAGUGUUGGGUCAUCAUUAAGUCACCUUUCAGAAGUCCCUCUAAAUUAAGGAGUCCUCAUCCUUUCCUUAAAUUUUUCAUGUGUCCUGACCUAUGAGAAUCUGUUAUACGCAUGUUUAAUUUCUAUGGAAUACCUCAUCAUACAACUUGAAAUUCUGAUUGACUAGUGGUUUUUUUCCUGCAUAAGUGCUACUUCAUCUAUGCCUCAGUAACAAACAACAACAAUCACUUAAUGGAAAUGGUGGCAGGCAGAAUUCUAAGAUAGCUGCCAGAUUCCUGCCGCCCCUGGUGUGCAUUCCUUGAUAAUCACUCUCCUUUGAGUGCAGGCAGACCUGUGUGUAUGAUACCACUGCUAUGAUUACAUUGCUCAUCAGGCGACUGUGAGCUAGCCAAAAUGGAGAAUAUUCUGGUGGGUCUGACCUAGCCAGGUGAGCCCGUUUCUGAGUCAUAGAGAUUGAAAGUGUGAGAGGGAUUUGAUGUGAGGGGGAAUUCUCUGUUGCUGGUUUUGAGUAUAAAAGGGGCCAUAUAAUAAAGACUUGAGAGUGGUCACUAGUUGCUGAGAUCCAUCCCUAAUUGAAGCUAGCAAGAAACACUUCUACCAACAACUUGAAGGAAUUUGGAAAAGAAUCCUUCCCUAGUCAAGUCUCUAGAGGGGAAUGCAGCUAACUGACACCUUGAUUUCAGCCUCGUGAGACCCUGAACAGAGAUAUCAACCACUCAGUUGCCUGGACCUCUGACAGAAAUGAAAGAUAAUAAAUGUCUGUUGUUUUAAGCCACUAAGUUUAUGGAAAUUUGUUACACAGCAAUGGAAAACCAAUAUAGGCCCCUAUCCAUGAGUUACAUUGUAGUAAACACCUUUCCUACAUUAUAGAUAUCUCAUCUAACUCCUACAGCAACCCUUGAGGUAAUCACUGUGUCCAUUGUCAGAGCAAGAAAACUGAAGCUCGGCUUCAUAAACAGAAGCAGCAAGGAUUGAUUCCUUAAAUACUGUGAAUUCCACUCUCACUUUAUUUGAAUUUGUGACAGUGAAAUUCACAGUAUUCUUUAAACAUUUUACCCCCAAGCGAUGCUCUUUCCUCUGAAUUGCUUUGCCUGUCCUAAUAAUUUUAUUUAUACAGGCUGAUGCUGGUGACUUGGGAAUAGUAUUUUUAUCCAAACCAUUUGGCUUCUUAUAGGUAUGAGCCACUGAGGGAGCUAUUUUUUAUUUAAUUGUGCUUUGGAAAAAUCAAACGUAGCCUUGAGUUUUAAAAUUAUUAAGCUUACACUUUUUCACAAAAUAGAAAUGGAGUAAUAUAGCUCUGUCCUUCCGUUUUUUAAAGCCAAAAAAUGUAAGAAUGGAAUGUACUGGCUCACUGCUCCCACGGUGUCCUUACCAGCACAACUUACCCCAUCCCUCCCUAGCCCACUCUUGAGGAUACUUUCUUGCCACUGUCAGGCUUACUCCUGCCUCCUAGACUGAGGAAAGAAAAGCCUCCUGGUUUGGAGCUCAUAAUCAAGUCAGCCUUGCUGCAGGGCUCAUUUUAAGCCAGUAUCCUGGACCAGAUAAGGAAGCUGAAGCUUUGAGAAUUUAAUUUGCUCAAGGGGAGGCCAGGACAAGAAAUAAUGAAGAGUCCGAUGUGGCAGGAAUGUAGGAAACAAGUCAAUGAUGGAAGAUAAAUAUGGAGACGUGAUGAAGGCAAAAUUCUGAAGGGUCUUAGAGCCCAUUAUAAGACGUUUGGUUUUUAUGACUAUGCCGUGCAAGACUUGGUAAACUGGUCCCUACCGCAGAGGAUUUUAUACAGAGCACGCUAGUGGCUCACAGAAUAUUUCACUGAUUGCCUUGCCCGCUUCUCAAAGGCCCACUUCUCUGUGGAAUGAUGCAGUUGCUAAGAAGAGCUGUUAAUGUCAUGACCUCAAUGAAUAAAAAAGACUUCCUUUUCUCCAUGCCCACUCAAGUAAAAGGCUUCUCUCUGAACUCCUGCUAAUUUUUCAUCAGCAAAGGUGCACAGCCUUUUGGAAGUGAAAUGAUUACUAGUGAAGAAAAAGAAAGAACCUAACACUUAUUUUACAGUAAGUAGCAAGUUGAUCUCCAUUAGGGUCAACCCUCUGGGGUGCUCUGGCCCUUCCCUUUAUGUUCUGAGACAGAUACAUCCCUGAGAAAAUUCUAGUCUCUUCUAAUCCUGGAAUAAUUUAGGGAAGCAAGUCUUGAACUUCUUCCAUCAAAGCCCAAGAAGUAACCAUAAAAGAUGUCUUAAGGGUUCUAGAAACACAUCACCAAGGGGAUUGGAUAAAAAUGUGAAAUUUGUUUAAAACCUGAAAUGUUCACUUUUAAAAAGCAUGCAAAUUGUGACUACCCUUCCACAAUGUAUUUGUUUUACUGCAAAAAUAAUUUAAAUGUCUUUCAGAUUAAAUUAUGAAAAUAUUUACCUCCAAAUUUUGGCAUGAAGUUAAAACUCCUGGAUAAUGUGCUAUGUUUAUUCUGUGGGUUUUUAUAUCCCUGGCACACUGCCAUGUAUCUUGCCGAAUAGCCAAAUAUUAGGAUAUUAUACUACCCUGAUGAUUUUGCUAAAUAAUUAUUAUGCCAAACAAGACAGUAAUUCAAAGAAGGACAAGUGUCUGAACUCUUGUUCUUUCAGAAAGCUUAAGAGUAGUAGUGAGUGCAUCUGCUGCGUGACUCCUGCAAUCUCAGCAUCUGUUUCUAGUUAGAGAGCCAGUGAGUAAAUUGAAUCAGGGUCACUGAAGCAGGUGUUCUUGGUGAAUUGCAGAGCCUCCCAGUGACCACUCUUCAGACAAAACUUCUUAUAAUAGCUUCCUUCCCUGAAUCUUUUGCGAAACAUCAAAUCACAAAGAGAUCUUAUUGUGAGUAUUACCUAAAAUUUUUUCCUGUCUUAUGUAGCAAAGAGGGAAGUCACUGAGUCAGCUUAGAUAUGUGUAUGUGUUCUAAAAAAAAUGAAUGUAUCCAUGUGACUUUUUUUUCUUU
rnacentral:lncRNA from 1 species